AGCGAACGCUGGCGGCAGGCCUAACACAUGCAAGUCGAACGAUCCUUCGGGAUAGUGGCGGACGGGUGAGUAACACGUGGGAACGUGCCCUUUGGUUCGGAAUAACUCAGGGAAACUUGAGCUAAUACCGGAUGUGCCCUUCGGGGGAAAGAUUUAUCGCCAUUGGGGCGGCCCGCGUUGGAUUAGCUAGUUGGUGGGGUAAAGGCCCACCAAGGCUACGAUCCAUAGCUGGUCUGAGAGGAUGAUCAGCCACACUGGGACUGAGACACGGCCCAGGCUCCUACGGGAGGCAGCAGUGGGGAAUCUUGCGCAAUGGGCGAAAGCCUGACGCAGCCAUGCCGCGUGAAUGAUGAAGGUCUUAGGAUUGUAAAAUUCUUUCACCGGGGACGAUAAUGACGGUACCCGGAGAAGAAGGACCGGCCAACUACGUGCCAGCCGCCGCCGUAAAAC
rnacentral:rRNA from 1 species